GACGAACGCUGGCGGCGUGCUUAACACAUGCAAGUCGAACGGUGAAGGGACCGGUUUUUGCUGGUUCUGGAUGAGUGGCGAACGGGUGAGUAACACGUGAGUAACCUGCCCCCUUCUUCUGGAUAACCGCAUGAAAGUGUGGCUAAUACGGGAUAUUCUGCGCCUGCUGCAUGGUGGGUGUGGGAAAGAUAUUGUUUCGGUGGGGGAUGGGCUCGCGGCCUAUCAGCUUGUUGGUGGGGUGAUGGCCUACCAAGGCGGUGACGGGUAGCCGGCCUGAGAGGGUGGACGAUCACACUGGGACUGAGACACGGCCCAGACUCCUACGGGAGGCAGCAGUGGGGAAUAUUGCACAAUGGGCGCAAGCCUGAUGCAGCGACGCCGCGUGAGGGAUGGAGGCCUUCGGGUUGUAAACCUCUUUCGCCAGUGAAGCAGGCCUGUCCCUUUUGUGGGUGGGUUGACGGUAGCUGGAUAAGAAGCGCCGGCUAACUACGUG
rnacentral:rRNA from 1 species